rnacentral:rRNA from 1 species
UACGUAGGGAGCAAGCGUUGUCCGGAAUCAUUGGGCGUAAAGCGCGCGUAGGUGGCCCCAUAAGUCCGCUGUGAAAGUCAAAGGCUCAACCUUUGAAAGCCGGUGGAUACUGUGAGGCUAGAGUACGGAAGAGGCGAGUGGAAUUCCUGGUGUAGCGGUGGAAUGCGCAGAUAUCAGGAGGAACACCAAUAGCGAAGGCAG